rnacentral:snRNA from 1 species
GUGCUCACUUCAGCAGCACAUAUACUAAAACUCGAAUGAUAUAGGGAAGAUUANCAUGGCCCCUGAGCAAGGAUGACAUGCAAAUUCAUGAAGGUUCAUUUUUUU